GAUUAAGUUUAGGGAUAGUGCUCUAGGAUGGAGUGAGUGGAACACUCUAGGAUUGAGUAGGGAAUAAUCUUCAUUGAUGAAGUCAGGAACAGCUUUAGGAUGAAGUAAAGGACACCUCCAGGACGGAAGAGAGAGUCAAUAUUGGAAUAUUGAUGGGUCAAGGAACUACCGAAGAGCAACUCUAGGAUAGAGUUUGGAGCUACACUGGGGAUUUAAGUAUAUCAAGGAUUGAUAGCAGGGAGCACCAUAGUAGCGGGAAUGCUGCAUGUAAGGCCAUAGGGCGCAACGAAAGUUGCGCCCGUUCUUUUUAUA
rnacentral:other from 1 species